AAAGUUUGAUCAUGUUUUGGAAAGGCAUACAUAAAUUAAACGUACCACCCAAAUUUUAGGUUGUCGCACGAAAUCUUGUUCCUGUACUUCCAUCUUGAUAAGCCUAUGAAACUUCUAAAAUUCUUCACAAGUUUUAACCAAUUUUUGAAUUGCAUUUUAAGAUGGUAUAUGGGUUUAAAAGAUACUUAGUGAAGGUAUGUCUUACUCACGUUUUAUGUUUUUUAUUUCUCUAAAGAUGUUUUUUUUAAUUUGGGAAUUUAGGUUUUAUUCAUGUUAAUGCCCAUGGAAUCAUUUCCUGGCUGUUUUUUUUCUCUCCUGAUUUUGAUAUUUAGGUUUCGUUUCUUUUAUUUCACAACUACUUGUUCUUCAUUUGUCUAUUAGAGGAGCAAUUUGUUGGUUUGAGAGAAAUGACAGGUUAUGGAUACUGAUAUAAGUGAUGCAACUACUUUCUAUGAAUUCAAAGUUGGUAUACGAAGAUA
rnacentral:lncRNA from 1 species